AUUUAUAUAGCUUAUCCUAGAGCAAUUUACUGAAGAUAAAGAGGACUA
rnacentral:tRNA from 1 species